GGCCUAAAGGCAUUCUUCCACUACGGCAGACGCCCAUUCUCAACGAUUGAAGACCAUCGAUUGAAGACUCGUCGGCAGAUGCCCACUAGAACGUGUAAGUUAUGGAUUUGCUGCUGGAGAUUGGGUCCGAUUGAAGGCUGAAGGUUUCCUGCACUUCUCCUGGAGUGAUGAAAAAGUAUCAGCACCCUGAGGAUUUUCACUGGGCAGUCCGGCCACUUCUGAUUGCUUUGGGUCUAUUUACUGCUAUGAAGCUGGGCCUUUUUGUUGGCAAAAAGAUUAGCAGGUCAAAGGUAAGGAAGGGACGGACUAAUGUCAUACCAGGUGAAGCUCAAUCUUUGGAAGGCCACACUGCUGGCAACACGGGCUGGCUUCCACCCCACCCCAAGUGGCAAACAUCAUCUUCAGGAGGGUGUCAGUGCACCUACAUCUUGGUAGUUCUCAUGCUUCAAUCAGCUUGCCCAAGCAAGUCUUGCCCUUUCCAGAAAAGGCUCCACAGAUUUGUGACCUUUGCUUAGGGAAUUCAAAGCACAACCUUGCUUAUAUUUGCAAAAACAAAUCCUGUAUACAUGAUUGUUGUAAAUAUAUGUUUGGUGGUUGGAACUAUUGCUGCCUUGUUAAUUCUUGUCCAUAUUAGCUAACGCCUUCUGGUUGUUUAUGGUAUUUUAUUGUGCUUGAAACUGCAGAAAGGCUCCUUUCUAAUA